GACGGAGGGGGCAAGCGUUGUCCGGACUCACUGGGCGUAAAGGGUGCGCAGGCGGCACGGCACGUUCGCGCUGAAAGCCCCCGGCUCAACUGGGGAGGGUCACGCGAUACUGAUCGACUCGAAGGCAGGAGAGGGAAGUGGAAUUCCCGGUGUAGUGGUGAAAUGCGUAGAUAUCGGGGAGGAACACCUAUGGCGAAGGCAGCUCUCUGGGACGGUACUGACGCUGAGACGCGAAAGCGUGGGGGAGCGAACAGG
rnacentral:rRNA from 1 species